AGCAUAGCAUGUCACGUCCACCUAAUUAAUAAUAAGGAAUACUUUAAAAUAUGAACCUAUAAUGAUAUGUCACCGUGCACUAAAAUCCCUCCGUAUAAUGUCCCAAUCCCAUUAAGGGUCAUGGUAAAGUCAAACCCCCUUAUCAUGGAAUCUUAUGCACUCAUUUGAAAUCUAGUUCUUGACAUAUAAGAUUUUACCAUCAGGAAACAUCUUUCCCGACAAAGUCAUCUGUCCUGGCCAGGAACUUAAUAUUGUCAAGAACAACUCAAAUCUACAUGGGAUUUUAACUCUGUUUACUCAAGACUACGGAUCCCCUCUUGAUUGAACACCUGUCUCAACAUAUAAGUGAUCUGAGCGAACACACAUCGAAAUAUCCAUACAAAGUACAGAUAUAUAAAUGGUAUUAAAUUCAAACCACCUAUAUAAGAGAUAACCGUGUCAUCUCAGGUCUGAGGAUUAUAUGCACUAGAAAGACACAGAUAACAUUUUAUUUACUCAAGUAAAUGUCAUGUUCAUAUUAUCUGUACGUCACAAGUUUGGUCUACUUAUCUCAUAAGUGCUCACUGUGUUUAUCCCGAUAUCUCAUAUCAGAUGGUAUGAGACUCACCAUUCAAUAUACAUCAGUAUUUCAUACUGAUCAAUGGAGAUAAACAGAGGUGACAGCUCUUUGGAUAUAAUGUGUCCACCAAAAUAUACUUGAUUUGUGAACUCUGAUUUAUAGCAAAUGUCUCAUAUAUUCUGUCACUCAUAUUCU
rnacentral:misc_RNA from 1 species